GCCGGUGACUCAAGCGAGGAGGAAACACCCGUUCCCAUCCCGAACACGGAAGUUAAGCUCCUCUGCGCCGAUGGUACUGCGCGGGCGACUGCGUGGGAGAGUAGGGCGUCGCCGGUC
rnacentral:rRNA from 1 species